UUUUUCUUCUUCCUGCUAAAUUCCUUCAUAAAGUUGAGAACACCAAGCACAUGUUUCCAUGUUUCAACCAUAGGAAUUUUAAUCUCCAAUUUCUUGAAGAUCUCCAUAAAGUACUUGACUUUCUUUUUCUUCCUAUGAUAUUUCCUUUGAUGAGGAAGGGGUCUUUCAUGUGAUCUUUUCUUCUUUCCUCUCUUCCUCUUUUUCUCAAUCUUCUCCUUCAACUUUCUCUUUUUCUUUUUUCUUUCUUUCUUUAUUUUCAUACUUUUUUUUUUCUUUUUUCUUUUUUCUCAACCACUGCUUUUUCUUUCCUCUCAUCUUUAUCUUCCUCACUCAACCUUUCGGUUUCUUCCUCCUCUAUUUUCUCCUCAUCUAUCUCUAUCUUUUCUUCAUCUAUCUUCUCCUUAGCAACAACUUUUUCUGUUUCUAUCUCUUCUAACUUUUUCACUUCUCUCUCCACCCUCUCCUCAUCAACAACCUCAUCAAUUUGUGUCUCCAAAUUCCUGAAGGUAACUUUAUAGUUCUUGGAAUCACACCUCUCCAAAAAUUUGUCGAACCUUUCAUUAAUGCUUUUCACUUGUUCUGUCACAUCAGCUAUCUGUUGGCAAAGUUGUUAAUCAUACUCCCAUGUUUCUAUUGGUGAAGAGUAUUGUUGUUGCCACUGAUAUUGUUGCCUUUCUUCCAUGCGUCUAUGAGAAGAACAUCUUGUAUACAUGUCUUGUGGAAAGAAUUUGUCAUUCUUUAUAUUCUCCUCUAUGCCUUUGACAUGGUAUACUUCCCUAUUUUUGAUCCUCUGGAAAAGUUCUUCAAAGUCUGUGUUUUUUUUAUUGGUCUAAUUUGUGGCUCAUCAGCUUGCCCAAAUUGACUUUGAUCCACGUAUGAGUGAGGUUCCCACCAGUGGUUGAAAUUAUUUUGGUAGAAUUGAGUGCCCAUAUAAUCAAAUUCUUGUCUAAACUGCAUUCUGCAAACGUUAGUCACAAAACCCUAGAGAACAUUUAUUAAAACAAAAAUAAAAAU
rnacentral:lncRNA from 1 species